CAUUUGCUGCAGAAGUCCACCCCUUGAGAGCAUGCUUUCUGCAGUGAGACCAGCUAGUCGUGAAAGAUUUGCAUUUAACAUGGCUAGGAAACUCUUAUUUGCGUGCAUAUUUUCGAUACAGUAUUACGAUACUUGACGUAAAUUUGCAUACAAAUAAGUUAAAUAAUUUAUUUAUGCAUCAUGGUGCAUGUAGGAACUGCGGCGUGACUAGGCCGCGUCUGCUUGGAAAUGUCGAAGUCCGAUCUUAAGGGUUCAUAGCAGGUUUUCGAAGUGCUAGCAUAUCCCCACGUGGAUCGAGUGGAGACCGGCUAAGGCCUAACAAGACUUUAUGACUGAAAUGGAUUUUGGUGUGGCUGGAUCCCUGCAUGAGUAACAUGCAAUACGACUGAUCGACAAAUGGACAACUUGCUGUCAAUUACAAAGGGACACCAGGACCACAUGUUUGUGGGUUUCUAAUGUGUUGGUCCUGAGCCAUUACAAAAUGCAUAUUGCUGAACUGUAAUACGUCUUGUGAAUAAAGCAUUUGUUUAAAACAAAAAAAACACAGUAUUGUUUG